UCUUUAGUUGAUUCCGGGACUGGGCAGUCAGCAUGAGAAAAUGUUCAAUGGCUGGAAAGUGCAGGGGUCAAAAUGUCCAUACGAACUGGCUGUCUAUGUGGUAAAAAGUAUGAACGUUGUAAUGCCUUAGUGUCAAAAUGUCCAUACGGACCGGCUGUGUAUAUGGCAAAAAGUAAAAAUUUCAAAAUUUGCAGUGGUUCAAAUGGACGGCAGUUAAAAUGUGUUCAGGUCCAAUUAAACAAGUGCCAUAAUGUAUAAUAGCCAACGCGAACACAUGCGUAAAUGCAUCACGGUCUCGUCCUACACUAAAACGAGCAAUAACCGAUAGCAGCCGAUGCAUUUUUAGUGAAUGCCCCGCGAUGGAUCUUCUCCAUAUCCCGUAUCUUUCAAAGGCCAUGCUUUUAUCAAAACAUAAUUUUUAUGUGCCACGAGAUGCAAGGGUGUGCCGUCAACAUUUAGAAUCUGAAAACUGGGACCAUGUAUUAAAUUAUAGUGCAUCAGUUACUGAUUUUAAUGAAAUCCACACAGCAGACAUCAUACAAAUUUAUAAAAGUACUCUACAGUUGAUAAAUGUUACCGUGUCGUCUGCCCUAAUAGAAUAAGGUCAUUUUAGGCUGUAGACUAGAAUUAAAUAAUAAAGGUUAAAAUUUAAUGUUUAGUCAUUUAUUUAUUUUUAACUAUGUAACUCCAGUGAAGCUCAAUCAUAUCUAAACGAUAUAUACAAGACAGUCCUUUCACUGAAGUGGUUGUGAGUGUUCUUUGGUGAUUUUAAUCGCUUAUCAUCUGGCGAUUUGUCUGCUCGUUUCCCUCUUAUAUCUUAAAACAAUUUUGCUUGUAUAUUUAAACAUUACUUGUACAGUAGACGUAAAAUCCCACCAGGUAUGUACCUGUUAGCUAUGAGCUAUCGGCUAUAAACACGAACAAAAGAUAAGCACUCCCGUGAAAAUAAAAGAGACACGGCGAUAUUUAUAGUUACUCGCCCAGCUAUGAAUUCAGGUAUUCAGAAUUACUACGACGACUUCACUAUGACUAAAUUACGUUACGUACCUACCUCUUUACAUAGCAUUCAACCUAUCUCUGUCAAUUUAUAUUGGCCACUUUAGAUUAAAAAGUAACUUGCAUUAUGACUGAUAAAUACUAAAACAAUGUUUAAUGUCACUUUAUAAUGUUUCUCGGAGUUAUUCAGUUACAAUGCAAGAAGAAAGCGAAAAACUGAUAUUCAGUAAAACUCAAAAAGGCAGGGAUUCACUGUUACUUGGUGUACAUAGAUAUACUUUGGGCGUGCAUAAUCCAAGUGGGUCCACUCUAUGGAAGUGCAUAAACCGUCUGUCGUGUGGUUCAUCGAUUACCUUAAACGCCAGUCGAACAAAGAUUGUGCGAAAAAGUGCACAUACUUGUGAGCCAUCCUCGUCGAAAAAUAAAAAUCACCUAGCUUAUCAAAAAUGCAGAAAAAUGGUUUGCGAGUCCUAUGAAUCCGUUCAAAAAAUAUUUGAAGAUGUUUAUAGUCGGGAUAUGGACACAGAUGAAGAUUCGGAUGAUUGUACGAUUCCAUUAUUUGAAAAUAAAAAAAGGUCAUUGUAUAGAGCACGAAAGGAGUUUUUGCAGGUCAAAUCGACGUCUUUCAAAACACUACAAGACGUCGAAGUACCAAUAAUAUUAAGACAAAAUUUUUUAAUUUGGGAGGAUGGAAAUGACGAUAAAAUUUUAUUAUUCGGCACCAAAUACUCGAGAAAAGUAUUAAAAAAUAAAAGUGAUGACACAAUAUUCUUUGGAGAUGGCACGUUCAAAAUAACUCCUCAACCGUUUGAGCAGCUAUUUACUAUACAUAUGGAUGUAAAUAGCACAGAAGAGCAAACUAAUAUCAUACCAAUGCUAUAUGCAUUGCUUCCUGAUAAAACCACAAACACCUACUUACGACUCUUCAAUUACCUGAGAAAUGAGUUAGGCAUGUGCGUAAAAAAAUAUAAAACUGAUUACGAAAGAGCUGCUAUAAAUGCCUUCAAAGAAGUUUACCCUGAAUGCGACGUAAGUGGAUGUUUUUUUCACUACAACAAGGCUAUAUGGAGAAAAUCUGAGGAACUUAAACUAGAAGACACUAAAGAUGGCCGCAAGUUAGCAGAAUUAGCGUCAUAUUUGCCUUUCUUACCAGCCGAUCUAAUAUUACAAGGGUGGGCUGAAAUAAUGUCUAGUUUGCCCAAGCAUAACAGAUCCAUUCCGGGAGUGGGCAGUCAACGUGAAACCACCCCAAUAGAGAAGUUUGAAAAGUAUUUUAAUAAACAAUGGUUGUCAAAAUCACUUUUGGCAGAAAUCAGCUGUGCAGGUGAGAGACAUCGCACCAACAACGCGUUGGAGGGGUGGCAUAGUAGGUUAAAUAAAAGAAUGCGGGCUAAUCCAAGCUUAUUUCAAUUUAUUCUCUUUUUAAGAAAGGAAGCCAUCUAUCAAGAAUCAAAAGCUAAAGAUGUGCUAUUUGAAAAUGUAAAGAGAAGAAAAUGUGACAUUUUAUUUGAUAAAAAUUAUAAAAAAAAGUUACAACAAUUGAAGAACAAAGAGAUUACUAUUACUAAUUUCUUGAAGUGUAUUGUGAAGUUGAAGAAAAAUGAAAAAAACUACAAUAAUUAGAUUACAAAAUAAAGAAUAAGUGCUAAUUAUACUACAAACGUACCCAUUUUUUUAGUUUAAGUGCUUAAAUGAAGGUUUUUUUUAGUUUGUGAAUAAGUAAAGUAAUUUUUUAGUUUAAGUGCCUAAUUGAAGUAUUUUUUUAGUUUAAGUGCCUAAUUAAGGAGGUAGCUGAUUGUGAUUUAUGUUCGUAACUUACGGUACUUUAUAAAUUGAAAUAAAAUAAUUUGUAAUGA